rnacentral:rRNA from 1 species
UGAGCAAUCUGCCCUUCUCAUCGGAAUAAGCGUUGGAAACGACGUCUAAUGCCGAAUACGACCUCCUUUCGCAUGAUCGGAGGUGGAAAGCUCCGGCGGUGAAGGAUGAGCUCGCGGCCUAUCAGCUUGUUGGUGAGGUAAUAGCUCACCAAGGCGACGACGGGUAGCCGGCCUGAGAGGGCGACCGGCCACACUGGGACUGAGACACGGCCCAGACUCCUAGGAGG